rnacentral:rRNA from 1 species
CGAGAAGGAGGCUUCGGUCUCUGAGUAGAGCGGCGCACGGGUGAGUAACGCGUGGAUGAUCUACCCUUGAGUUCGGGAUAACGGUGCGAAAGCGCCGCUAAUACCGUAUAACAAUCCAUUUCAUCGUGGGUUCAAAGCAGGCCUCUUCAUGAAAGCUUGCGCUUGGGGAUGAGUCCGCGUCCCAUUAGCUUGUUGGCGGGGUAACGGCCCACCAAGGCAACGAUGGGUAGCUGGUCUGAGAGGAUGAUCAGCCACACUGGAACUGAAACACGGUCCAGACUCCUACGGGAGGCAGCAGUGGGGAAUAUUGCGCAAUGGGGGAAACCCUGACGCAGCGACGUCGUGUGAGGGAAGAAGGCCUUCGGGUCGUAAACCUCUGUCAGAAGGGAAGAACAUCCGGGAGUCGAACAGCCUCCCGGCCUGACGGUACCUUCAGAGGAAGCGCCGGCUAACUCCGUGCCAGCAGCCGCGGUAAUACGGAGGGCGCAAGCGUUAAUCGGAAUCACUGGGCGUAAAGCGUGCGUAGGCUGUUUGAUAAGUCAGACGUGAAAUCCCUCGGCUCAACCGGGGAACUGCGUUUGAUACUGUUGAACUAGAGCCCUGGAGAGGGUGGCGGAAUUCCUGGUGUAGGAGUGAAAUCCGU